GAUGAACGCUGGCGGCGUGCUUAACACAUGCAAGUCGAACGAAGCACUUUAUUUGAUUUCCUUCGGGACUGAUUAUUUUGUGACUGAGUGGCGGACGGGUGAGUAACGCGUGGGUAACCUGCCUUGUACAGGGGGAUAACAGUUGGAAACGGCUGCUAAUACCGCAUAAGCGCACAGCAUCUCAUGAUUCAGGGUGAAAAACUCCGGUGGUAUAGGUUGGACCCGCGUUGGAUUAGCUAGUUGGUGAGGUAACGGCCCACCAAGGCGACGAUCCAUAGCCGACCUGAGAGGGUGACCGGCCACAUUGGGACUGAGACACGGCCCAAACUCCUACGGGAGGCAGCAGUGGGGAAUAUAGCACAAUGGGCGGAAGGCUGAUGCAGCGACGCCGCGUGAGCGAAGAAGUAUUUCGGUAUGUAAAGCUCUAUAAGAAGGGAAGAUAAUGACGGUACCUGACUAAGAAGCACCGGCUAAAUACGUG
rnacentral:rRNA from 1 species